UACGUAGGGGGCUAGCGUUGUCCGGAAUCAUUGGGCGUAAAGCGCGUGUAGGUGGUCCGGUAAGUCCGCUGUGAAAGUCGGGGGCUCAACCCUCGAAUGCCGGUGGAUACUGUCGGGCUAGAGUGCGGAAGAGGCGAGUGGAAUUCCUGGUGUAGCGGUGAAAUGCGCAGAUAUCAGGAGGAACACCUAUUGCGAAGGCAGCUCGCUGGGACGUAACUGACGCUGAGACGCGAAAGCGUGGGGAGCAAACAGG
rnacentral:rRNA from 1 species